UUUCGCCGGGAUCGCCCCCCGUCAGCGAGGUUUCGCCCACGGGGGCAGAUCGCG
rnacentral:sRNA from 1 species